ensembl:lncRNA
GCCAAAUGAAACACCAGAUGCCAUAAUAAUUAUCCACUAAAUCAAGGUAUCCUGCACAAAGGGUCUGCAUAUUGUCAUAGAUCAUUUCUUAAUUUUCUUUUGAUGUUAUGUGUAUUUUUAUUAGCGUAUAUUAAUUUUUCAAAAGAGUGUGCUUUGUUAUGACUUUUUUCUACUUGUCUAUAAGGUGCUUUGGUUGUACUAAUCCCUUGCCCCUCUACCAAAGUCAACAUAGGAGAUCAUUGAGUAUAGUUCUCCCAGUGCAUCCUGAACUCAUACAUACAUGAUUUAUAUCUGCAUGCCCAGAUAGAGCACUCUGUUGAAACGGGUCAGAUGGAAAUUACUUAAUGACUCUCUGACAUUCCUGAAUUUGUUUGCAGAAAACCAUAAUGAUGAUGAUGAUGAUGAUGAUGAUGAUGAAGACUCACUGAAUUCCAGACUCAACAGUCAGCUGCAAGAGGAGAAAGUGAAAGAAGUCUUCACAGGUUCAUCAGGUGAAGAGUAUUUCCACCCUUGUACUCAUCCUGACCAACUGGACUCACAAGAGUGUCUCAGAGGCACUGCCCUCCCCUUGGAUGGGCCUAAAGUCAGCCCUGCCCUGAAUCAAAACCAGUCAGAUUUGGAUGCUUCCAUUGAAGUGAAGAACCCUGAAAUGCUGGAGUGUAAUACUGCUGAAGGCUUAGUUAACAACAUGCAUGAGUUUCAACAUGGCUUCCUUGGUGCCACAAAUGUCUUGAAACAGGAGAUUAUCAAAAGAAUACUAUUGUUCAGCAAGUGGAGAAAUGAAUGCAGAUUCCCUGGAUCAACAGGCAGAGGUUGGUUCUGUCCAACAAAUGAUGUAACUUCUGCAUCUUCUUACCUUGAAUUUCCAUGGGCUGUGGCUGUGUCCAUUCCUGCAUCUUCAUCUCCUAUGUGCAUUCUGAGCUCUGAUCCUAAGCAGCCCUGCUCUUCUAAUACUUUAACUGCAAUAGGUAAGACCAGCUGUUUGUUAUCCCCAUUGCAUAAAGAACAUCAUUUUUGGUUCUCAGUACAUGUAGUUUCCCAGAAACCACCUUUUGUUGACUUUUUGCCUGUCUUUCCAGCAUCCCCAGCUCCAUUGCCUCUUUCUUCUUGGACAUGCCCUUUAUGAAACUGAAAUUAGUUCAGUUUCUCUUAUGCCUGUGCAAGGGAACAAAGACCACGUCAAUCCCUCAGUCUUAAAUUGGACUUGCACAAGAAAAUGUUUAAAUUAAUGAUAAGGCACCCUGAUUUGGAGGAUAUUAAAUGCUACUGUAAAGGGAUGUCAAUCCAAAAGUAGAUUCCAAGGGCAGUACUUCAAAGCAGGUCACGAGCUUCUUAGGCAGUCUAUAUUCUCUUCUUGUUUCCUUUUCCAUUUAACAUGUCUACUUAAGAGGCUAAAAUACAACUCCAUUGAAUCUGGAGGUCUGAGACUAUGACAGCCUUUUAUUUAACUUACUUAAUGGAAAGCAAUUCCAAGGCCAGGCAUAUCAACCCCCAAUAUGACUGACUGAGAAUACAGGACAAGCUUGAUAACAAUUGCAAUUGACAAGAGAGUGAUUUGCUUCAACUGUCAAAAUGAAGAGGAAAAUCCAUAGAGCCAGUAGGACAGGAGCCAGUCAUGAAAGAGAUGUGGAGAUGAAAUAUGAGUGAUGGUAUCAGUGGCCCAUUCACUGUCUGUAUCCCCUAGUGCAGAUCACACUGCACUGAGGUGAUGAAUGCCUUGAACACACACAGGAGAGUCUUAAAUAGUCUGGAGUCAGUUUUGGGCAUCAGUGUUUUUCAGAAGCUCCAAGGCUUCUAAAAGGCCACUCCAAGGUACCUCCAAGGCCACAUGAUUCUACCAUGUGGCAAAAAAUGAGGAGUACUGGUUCAUCAUGAUCUCAUGUUUUCAACACAGAAUUUUGCCACAUGUGUGGCUUACUCCAUGCAAAGAGCUGAGCACCAUUAACUGAUGAUGGAAUUUGUAUUUCCGAUCAACAAAACCUUUCUAUGUCACAGAAAAACAUGGAGAUGAAUGGAUUUU